rnacentral:rRNA from 1 species
AGGAAGCCCCGGCUAACUCCGUGCCAGCAGCCGCGGUAACACGGGGGGGGCAAGCGUUGUCCGGAAUUAUUGGGCGUAAAGGGCGCGCAGGCGGGAAUUUAAGUCUGAGGUGAAAGUUUGCGGCUUAACCGUAGAAUUGCCUUGGAUACUGGAUUUCUUGAGUGCGGGAGAGGAAAGCGGAAUUCCUGGUGUAGCGGUGAAAUGCGUAGAUAUCAGGAAGAACACCGGUGGCGAAGGCGGCUUUCUGGCCCGUAACUGACGCUGAGGCGCGAAAGUGUGGGUAGCGAACAGGAUUAGAUACCCUGGUAGUCCACACAGUAAACGAUGGAUACUAGGUGUUGGUCUUUAGGGAUCAGCGCCGGAGCAAACGCA